rnacentral:rRNA from 1 species
GGGCCAUACCACCCUGAACACGCCCGAUCUCGUCCGAUCUCGGAAGCUAAGCAGGGUCGGCCUGGUUAGUACUUGGAUGGGAGACCGCCUGGGAAUACCAGGUGCUGUAAGCU